rnacentral:rRNA from 1 species
AUUGAACGCUGGCGGCAUGCCUUACACAUGCAAGUCGAACGGUAGAGGGGGCAACCUCUCGAGAGUGGCGAACGGGUGAGUAAAGCAUCGGAACGUGCCCAGUAGUGGGGGAUAGCCCGGCGAAAGCCGGAUUAAUACCGCAUGAGACCUACGGGUGAAAGGGGGGGAUCGCAAGACCUCUCGCUAUUGGAGCGGCCGAUGUCAGAUUAGGUAGGUGGUGGGGUAAAGACCUACCAAGCCGACGAUCUGUAGCUGGUCUGAGAGGACGACCAGCCACACUGGGACUGAGACACGGCCCAGACUCCUACGGGAGUCAGCAAUGGGGAAUUUUGGACAAUGGGCGAAAGCCUGAGCCAGCCACGCCGCGUGCGGGAAGAAGGCCUUCGGGUUGUAAACCGCUUUUGUCAGGGAAGAAAUCCUUUGAGUUAAUACCUCGGGGGGAUGACGGUACCUGAAGAAUAAGCACCGGCUAACUACGUGCCGGCCGCCGCCGUAAGAC